CUAGCGGCAGGCUUACACAUGCAAGUCGAGGGGUAUAUGUCUUCGGAUAUAGAGACCGGCGCACGGGUGCGUAACGCGUAUGCAAUCUACCUUUUACAGAGGGAUAGCCCAGAGAAAUUUGGAUUAAUACCUCAUAGUAUAGCUCUACCGCAUGGUAGUACUAUUAAAGUCACAACGGUAAAAGAUGAGCAUGCGUCCCAUUAGCUAGUUGGUAAGGUAACGGCUUACCAAGGCAACGAUGGGUAGGGGUCCUGAGAGGGAGAUCCCCCACACUGGUACUGAGACACGGACCAGACUCCUACGGGAGGCAGCAGUGAGGAAUAUUGGACAAUGGGCGCAAGCCUGAUCCAGCCAUGCCGCGUGCAGGAUGACGGUCCUAUGGAUUGUAAACUGCUUUUGUACGAGAAGAAACACUGCUUCGUGAAGCAGCUUGACGGUAUCGUAAGAAUAAGGAUCGGCUAACUCCGUGCCAGCAGCCGCGGUAAUACGGAGGAUCCAAGCGUUAUCCGGAAUCAUUGGGUUUAAAGGGUCCGUAGGCGGUUUAGUAAGUCAGUGGUGAAAGCCCAUCGCUCAACGGUGGAACGGCCAUUGAUACUGCUGAACUUGAAUUAUUAGGAAGUAACUAGAAUAUGUAGUGUAGCGGUGAAAUGCUUAGAGAUUACAUGGAAUACCAAUUGCGAAGGCAGGUUACUACUAAUUGAUUGACGCUGAUGGACGAAAGCGUGGGGAGC
rnacentral:rRNA from 1 species